rnacentral:rRNA from 1 species
AAUGCCUAGGAAUCUGCCUGGUAGUGGGGGACAACGUUUCGAAAGGAACGCUAAUACCGCAUACGUCCUACGGGAGAAAGCAGGGGACCUUCGGGCCUUGCGCUAUCAGAUGAGCCUAGGUCGGAUUAGCUAGUUGGUGAGGUAAUGGCUCACCAAGGCGACGAUCCGUAACUGGUCUGAGAGGAUGAUCAGUCACACUGGAACUGAGACACGGUCCAGACUCCUACGGGAGGCAGCAGUGGGGAAUAUUGGACAAUGGGCGAAAGCCUGAUCCAGCCAUGCCGCGUGUGUGAAGAAGGUCUUCGGAUUGUAAAGCACUUUAAGUUGGGAGGAAGGGCAGUAAGUUAAUACCUUGCUGUUUUGACGUUACCGACAGAAUAAGCACCGGCUAACUUCGUGCCAGCAGCCGCGGUAAUACGAAGGGUGCAAGCGUUAAUCGGAAUUACUGGCGUAAGCGCGCGUAGGUGGUUUGUUAGUUGGAUGUGAAGCUCCGGUCUCAUCUGGACUGCAUCCAACUGCAGCUAGAGUAUGCAGAGGUGUGACACUGUGUAGCGUGAAUGCGUAGAUAUAGGAGACACAGUGCGAGCGACACUGCUAUACUGACACUGAGUGCGAAGCGUGG